UCACAUUCAGCCAUCUUCACUUUCACUGAGAUUCUAAUCAAAGAGAAGUCAUGGAAGCAAAGCCUUCAUCUUACAAAUCAAAUUAAGGAGAGCCUAAUGUCAAAGGCGAGGCUGAUGAAGAAAUACAGAAAAUUGUUGCAAGCCAACGCAAUACAGUUGGGUCCAACAGGAUGAAUGAUGCUGGAGGAAAAGAUGAUGAUGGCAAAAGUGAGCCUGGUACAGGAGCAAAGCAAGGUGCUUUAAAUGAUGAACUAGUUGCUAGGCUCGACCAAAGAACAAGGGGAAAGAGUACAAGCAGUGGUUCCAAACUACAUGCUAUUGGAGGAAAAGACUCAAGUAGAAAAAGUCAACCUGGAACAGGCUGAUGGGAUCAUGACUAACGAGA